UACGUAUGGUGCAAGCGUUAUCCGGAUUUACUGGGUGUAAAGGGAGCGUAGGCGGCGCGUUAAGUCUGGUGUGAAAACCCGAGGCUCAACCACGGGAGUGCAUUGGAAACUGGCGAGCUGGAGUGCCGGAGAGGUAAGCGGAAUUCCUAGUGUAGCGGUGAAAUGCGUAGAUAUUAGGAGGAACACCAGUGGCGAAGGCGGCUUACUGGACGGCAACUGACGCUGAGGCUCGAAAGCGUGGGGAGCAAACAGG
rnacentral:rRNA from 1 species